rnacentral:rRNA from 1 species
AUUGAACGCUGGCGGCAUGCCUUACACAUGCAAGUCGAACGGCAGCGCGGACUUCGGUCUGGCGGCGAGUGGCGAACGGGUGAGUAAUACAUCGGAACGUACCCUGUUGUUGGGGAUAACUAGUCGAAAGAUUAGCUAAUACCGCAUAAGACCUGGGGGUGAAAGUGGGGGACCGCAAGGCCUCACGCAGCAGGAGCGGCCGAUGUCUGAUUAGCUAGUUGGUGGAGUAAAGGCCCACCAAGGCGACGAUCAGUAGCUGGUCUGGGAGGACGAUCAGCCACACAGUGAGUGAGACACGGCCCAGACUCCGACGGGAGGCAGCAGUGGGAAAUGUUGGGCAAUGAGGGCAACCCUGAUCCAGCAAUGCCGCUUGUGUGAAGAAGGCCUUCGGGUUGUAAAGCGCUGUUGUCCGAAAAGAAAUCGCGCUGGUUAAUACCUGGCGUGGAUGACGGUACCUGAAGAAUAAGCACCGGCUAACUACGUGCCAGCCGCCGCCGUAA